rnacentral:rRNA from 1 species
UCUUCCCUCUGGCUUCGUGCCUAAUACAUGCAAGUCGAGCGAACAGAUGAGGAGCUUGCUCCUCUGACGUUAGCGGCGGACGGGUGAGUAACACGUGGAUAACCUACCUAUAAGACUGGGAUAACUUCGGGAAACCGGAGCUAAUACCGGAUAAUAUAUUGAACCGCAUGGUUCAAUAGUGAAAGACGGUUUUGCUGUCACUUAUAGAUGGAUCCGCGCCGCAUUAGCUAGUUGGUAAGGUAACGGCUUACCAAGGCAACGAUGCGUAGCCGACCUGAGAGGGUGAUCGGCCACACUGGAACUGAGACACGGUCCAGACUCCUACGGGAGGCAGCAGUAGGGAAUCUUCCGCAAUGGGCGAAAGCCUGACGGAGCAACGCCGCGUGAGUGAUGAAGGUCUUCGGAUCGUAAAACUCUGUUAUUAGGGAAGAACAAAUGUGUAAGUAACUAUGCACGUCUUGACGGUACCUAAUCAGAAAGCCACGGCUAACUACGUG